CGUGUAGGCGGCCGUGCAGGUCCGUUGUGAAAACUCGAGGCUCAACCUCGAGACGCCGAUGGAAACCGCGCGGCUAGAGUCCGGAAGAGGAGAGUGGAAUUCCUGGUGUAGCGGUGAAAUGCGCAGAUAUCAGGAAGAACACCCGUGGCUAAGGCGGCUCUCUAGUACGGUACUGACGCUGAGACGCGAAAGCGUGGGAGCGAACA
rnacentral:rRNA from 1 species